CCCCCUUUAAUAGGGUAGGGCCCUCCCCCGCUUCUUCUGGGACAGGUCCCCUGUCUUCCCUCCCUGCCCCAGCAGGGUCUUCUCCACUUACCCCCCCAUACACGCGCUCUGUCUUCACGAGCCCCGAAAGCGCAUCCUUUACCCCAGGCGACCCGCUGGGUGGUAGCCAGCCUGCUGUAACUCCUAGUAGAGGCGAGGCCCGGUGGUCUUUACAGCUAGGGAGCGCUUACGGGGAAGGGGUAUAGUGCUGAACACGCCUAGUCCCAUGGGCAAAAGAACAAAAUCCACUACGCUGUUCCUGCUGGGAAAAAUCACCUGUUUGUAGCGAAGGCAAAGCCUGAGUGGGACAGGAGUCUUCUUCCCGCACCCGUAUUUGCUCUUUUGCCUAUCAGCCAAUAGAGCAGUGUCACUCCACUUCCCCUCUGCUGUGCAUCAGGAGCUUAUUGAUUGAUUUAGCAUUUGCAUAGUUGCCAGGCAAUAGCGUUCUUAGUAGCCAAGUGGAGCGCGUGGAGCUCACUGCUGAAUUUGGUUAGCAGGCACUCCUCGACAACGCAUAUUCUUGUUCAAUCUGCACCACAGCCACAGCUUGGAUUGUCUCCAAGACCCCAACGCCCAGCUGGUUGGCUGCACGAAGGCGUUGCCCAGUCCAGAAUCAGUUAAGAAGGUCCCCCGCUGACAUGGCAGGUUGAAGCCAGACGGGCGAGCAGUAGGGUCUGUGAUGAGGAACUGAUUGGUGGUUGAUGUUAAGCAGCAGUCUUCCCACCACAUGGACUCCACUGUCACGUCCUGGCAUAGCAGCCUCAACCGUCUGUCAUUACAGCACUGUAAGUCAAGAGCCACUCAAGGAUCAAAACAGGAUUGAGAGUGUUUUCAGGCCUUAUGUCUUUAGCAACUGUGACCUGCUGGAAAUUACUUGCUCCCCAAACCCUUAAACUAGCUUGUCUGCAAAAUACUUCCAGCCUCUCGAGGAAGAGAACAUCUGAACAUAUGGUAGCCAGUUUUCCCAUUGCUUCAUUAUUUGUACUGACAGAGAGCAAUAUUUUGAAAGCAAAAUUAUCUAAUAUAUACGGGAGAGAAUAGGUCAACGUCAAAAAGUUACCGUAACAGUUACAAUAGAAAAUAAUACAAAUUUAAAACACGAGUUUUGGAAGGGAUAAAACCCCCCAUGCUUUCAGAAAUAAACCAGUCUAAUUGGGAUUAGAAAGAAACUUUCUCGCUUGGUUAUAACAUAACAUCUGACUGCAUCAGCUUCCUGUGAAGGAGGUGGUAACGGCUACAGUCAAAGGCAGGGUACUGGAUUAGACAGAUCUGUAGUCUGUGACAAUUGCUGUGUUCAUAUUGUUGUAUAUUUAAAAAGACUAUUUAAAAAUUACACUCCCGUCUAAAUUGGGGGCAGGGGUUAUGUUUUUCUUUUAGAUAAAAAACUAAGUCUGUACAUGGGUGCUGGAAUGAGGGGUGCUGCCGCACCCUUUGGCUUGAUGUAGUAACAACCACCCAAAUACAUGGUUUCUGCCUUCAGCGCCACCCCUAUAAAAAUCAUUUCACGAUAAAAAUGGAGUCUGUAUAUCUUUAAAGAGAACAAAACUGGAAUUUUUCAGUUGGAUUUUGCUGUGCAUUUGAUGGCACUUAGCUGAAACAGACCAGGCAAGUGUGUAUGUAUAAAACCACAACAUUUGGCAGGGACUCAAGGGCAGGUGUGGGACUUCAGACACUAUUAAAAAGAGGAGGAAAAAACUAGAUUUCAAAUUGACAUAAUCUCUUUUCCAGCAUGUCAUACAUCCAGACUGGAGAUACUAUUCUGCUGGAUCAGCUAACAUUUCUACAGCACUUUGAUAAUGUGAAGCAGCGGUAAGUAGCCUUGUAACUAAGAUUGAAAGGAUUAGAUUUUUAUGAGUAAAUGUCAGUAAAUGCCAAUUUCACUGUACACACACCAGCCAAUGAAAAUAUAUUAGAAAUAGAAAUUUACAAAUAGGCAAAGAAAGAAAAAGCUUUAUUUAAAGAUAUUUCUUUGCAUAUGUUUGUCAUAUGAUGUUGACCAUUUGUAUUUUAAUGGUUAUAAAGCUUUAACUUUUUGAA